AGGCAGCAGUGGGGAAUUUUGGACAAUGGGCGCAAGCCUGAUCCAGCAAUGCCGCGUGCAGGAUGAAGGCCUUCGGGUUGUAAACUGCUUUUGUACGGAACGAAACGGUCUACCCUAAUACGGUGGGCUAAUGACGGUACCGUAAGAAUAAGCACCGGCUAACUACGUGCCAGCAGCCGCGGUAAUACGUAGGGUGCGAGCGUUAAUCGGAAUUACUGGGCGUAAAGCGUGCGCAGGCGGUUAUAUAAGACAGAUGUGAAAUCCCCGGGCUCAACCUGGGACCUGCAUUUGUGACUGUAUAGCUAGAGUACGGUAGAAGGGGAUGGAAUUCCGCGUGUAGCAGUGAAAUGCGUAGAUAUGCGGAGGAACACCGAUGGCGAGGGCAAUCCCCUGGACCUGUACUGACGCUCAUGCACGAAAGCGUGGGGAGCAAACAGGAUUAGAUACCCUGGUAG
rnacentral:rRNA from 1 species